GGAGCCUGUUCGCGGCUGCACCGGAACCGUGUGAGAUCCGUCUGCAGUUGGUGUUUCUACUGGAGGGUCGAGAUGUUUUUCUGGACGCAGAGCGACUCAGAGCAGUUCCACGGAUCCAUGUCGAAGAGCGACAUCCUCCGAGGAAUCAUCACCGACAGGCUGAACACCGCGGCCCGGGAGAUCCUGGCGGUGGUGGAGCGGACGAUGGCCGACUACGAGGAGGAGGCUUCGGGCUUCAGGCGGGAGAUCGACCGGCAGCGGAGACAGCUGGAGCUGCUGCAGCCUCAUGUCCAGCUGGAGAGGAGAGAUCUGCUGCAUGACGUGGACGGCCGUGAGCUGGAGGUCAUUGGUGACAACAAAGAGGAGCAGCAGGUGAGUCCAGGUGAUCAGAACUCUGGGAGCUUCCUCUGGUACAACAACAGCGAUGGCGAUGGUGAUGAUGAUGAUGAUGAUGAUGAAGAGGGGCGACCAGCAGCCAGACCCAUACAGCAACUAGAAGAUCUGAAGGACCCAGAUUACCAAACUCCGUCCAGGUCGUUGUCGCCCAGAGUCCCGUCUGUCAGGAAGAAGUCCGGCAGACCUCGGCUCAGCGACACUCAGAACCGCCUGGAUCUGAAGGUCCGAGUCCUGGAGGCGUCUCAGGGCGACAUGCUGUCCAACACUGGUACUCUGAGCUCAUCAUUCUGUCCAUUUAUUGAUUUACACAGAAAUAUAAAUAGAAAAAGAUUCAUUUAUAUUUCAUUCUUUCAAGUGCAGUUUCUAAUAAUUUGGAUGUCCUGAGGCGAGUUUAAAGAUCAGAAUUGAGCCGGAUCAAGCUGUUUUUUUUGUAUCGACUAGAGCAUAAAUCCAGAGGUUUGUUUCUGGCAGGAUGCUGUGUAAACAUACUAUAAUUUUUCUGGAAAUCUGAAGAAUUAUUGGUUAAUAACUGGUUGAUUGACGCCUGUCUCAUGCUGGUAUUUAGAUUUUAGUCUUCGGACAUGAUUUGGAUGCCAACGCCGCUCUGUCUCAUCAACCGCUGUCAUCGUUAAUCCCAGUUUGUAUUAACCCUCAUGUCGUCCUGUGGGUCAAAACUGACCCGUUUUAAAGUUUGAAAAUGUGGAAAUAAAAAUAUAUUUUCACAGUGAAACUUCUGAUGUCCACAUUUUCAACAUUUUUGGGAAAUCUUUGAAAAUUUUUUGGUGGAAAAAAAGAAAUGUUAAAAAU
ensembl:lncRNA